GGCAUGUCGGGCCCCAGGCCUGUGGUGCUGAGCGGGCCUUCGGGAGCUGGGAAGAGCACCCUGCUGAAGAGGCUGUUCCAGGAGCACAGCGGCAUCUUUGGCUUCAGCGUGUCCCGUGAGUCCAGGGCUCUUGUGGAGGGAUACCACAAGGAACCCGAGGCCCGGCGAGGAGAACGGCAAAGGGAGGUGAUGCAGCGUGACAUAGCAGCCGGCGACUUCAUCGAGCAUGCCGAGUUCUCGGGGAACCUGUAUGGCACGAGCAAGGCGGCGGUGCAGGCCGUGCAGGCCAUGAACCGCAUCUGCGUGCUGGACGUGGACCUGCAGGGUGUGCGGAACAUCAAGGCCACCGAUCUGCGGCCCAUCUACAUCUCUGUGCAGCCGCCUUCACUGCAUGUGCUGGUGUGUGCUGGGCAG
rnacentral:sRNA from 1 species